rnacentral:rRNA from 1 species
GUAGUCAUAUGCUUGUCUCAAAGAUUAAGCCAUGCAUGUCUAAGUUCAGGCGAAAAUAAAGUGAAACCGCGAAUGGCUCAUUACAUCAGUUAUGGUUCCUUAGAUCGCACUUACUACUUGGAUAACUGUGGUAAUUCUAGAGCUAAUACAUGCGCUGGGCUCCAACCCUCGUGGAAGGAGCGCUUUUAUUAGAUCAAAGCCAAUCGGGCCUUCGGGUCCGUUUACUUGGUGACUCUGAAUAACUUUGCUGAUCGCAUGGUCUCGUACCGGCGACGUAUCUUUCAAGUGUCUGCCUUAUCAACUGUCGAUGGUAGGUUAUGCGCCUACCAUGGUGGUAACGGGUAACGGGGAAUCAGGGUUCGAUUCCGGAGAGGGAGCCUGAGAAACGGCUACCACAUCCAAGGAAGGCAGCAGGCGCGCAAAUUACCCACUCCCAGCUCGGGGAGGUAGUGACGAAAAAUAACGAUACGGAACUCUUACGAGGCUCCGUAAUCGGAAUGAGUACACUUUAAAUCCUUUAACGAGGAUCUAUUGGAGGGCAAGUCUGGUGCCAGCAGCCGCGGUAAUUCCAGCUCCAAUAGCGUAUAUUAAUUUUGUUGCGGUUAAAAAGCUCGUAGUUGGAUCUCGGUUUCGGGCGAGUGGUGUACCUUGCGGUAUUUACUGUUUGCCCGGACGAUUUUGUUGGUUCGUUUAUGGUUCUCUUAACCGAGUGCCAUAAGUGGCCAGCACGUUUACUUUGAAAAAAUUGGAGUGCUCAAAGCAGGCGCUACAGCCUGAACAUUAGUGCAUGGAAUAAUGGAAUAGGAUCUCGGUUCUAUUUCGUUGGCUUUCGGAGUCGAGGUAAUGAUUAAUAGGGACAGACGGGGGCAUUCGUACUGCGACGUUAGAGGUGAAAUUCUUGGAUCGUCGCAAGACGAACUACUGCGAAAGCAUUUGCCAAGAAUGUUUUCAUUAAUCAAGAACGAAAGUUAGAGGUUCGAAGGCGAUCAGAUACCGCCCUAGUUCUAACCAUAAACGAUGUCGACCGGCGAUCCGUUAUCGUUAACUGAAUGACUUAACGGGCAGCCUCCGGGAAACCAGAGUGUUUGGAUUCCGGGGGAAGUAUGGUUGCAAAGCUGAAACUUAAAGGAAUUGACGGAAGGGCACCACCAGGAGUGGAGCCUGCGGCUUAAUUUGACACAACACGGGAAAUCUCACCAGGCCCGGACACCGGAAGGAUUGACAGAUUGAGAGCUCUUUCUUGAUUCGGUGGG